GGCUAAAUUUAUGCCUGAGAGAAUAUUUAGAUUUUUUUAAAAGUUUUAGUUAUGAAGCUGGGCCUAGUGAAACACAUCUGUUUUCAUCCAGCACUUGGAAGGCAGAGACAGGAGGAUCACUCCAAGUUCAUGGCCAGCCUCAGCUACAUAGCAAGUUCCAAGCCAGCCGGAGUUCCAAAGCAAGACCCUAACUCAAAAAAAAAAAAAAAAACCAUAAAUAAUAAUGAUGAAAGACUCAUUUGUAUUGCUAGUAUUAAAUCUCAAAUCAUAAUUUAUUUGUGAAGUCUUUACACACACACACACCUUUAGAAUAUUGUUUUAUAACAAAUGACUUUGAUGGCUUCUAGAGUUAACGGCAAACCUUGGGACUUGCCUACUUUAUUCAUAUGUAUUAAGCUGUGUCUCAUAAAAUGCCUUUCCUUUUCUUUCUUUUCAGAUCCCCAUGGAAAGGCCUUCCGGAGCUCACCAAUGAGAACGGCCAGUACUGCCCUUUCAGCUGUGAGACACAGGCGUGGUCAAUGGCUGUUGUUCUGGAAACCCUCUAUGAUUUAUAGUUGGCUCAUAAAUAGUAAUUGUGUGAACACUUGACAUUAUUGAAUGCAAGGUCAUAAAGAAAUGUAAGCUCAACUCAUUUUAAAAAUCUCAUUCAUAGCCAGGGAAUGGUGGUACACGCCUUUAAUCCCAGCUCUCAGGAGGCAAAGGCAGGCAGAUCUCUUGAGUUCAAGGCCAGCCUGGUCUACAGGGAAAGUUCCUGGAUAGCCAGGGCUACACAGAGAAGCCUGUGUCUAAAAAAUAAAAACAAAACAAAAAAUUAUUGAUCUCUUUUUGGCUUUUUUCUUGAAGACUAUCAUGUGUGCCACCGUACCCAGUGUCUGCAGUGCUGGGGAUCACGCGGGACAUCAUGCGUAUUAGCCGAGCUCUCUACCAACUGAACCUCAUCCUGCGCCUGUCUUUUUCUACAUUCUGCUGAUUUGAAUCAGAAAGAAAUAUGAUCAUUUCCCAUAGAAGGUUACCAAAAAAGUAUUCUUCAAAGCAGGGUUUAAAACAAAAAAAGGAAAGAAAGAAAAGCGUGUAUCAUCUUCAGUUUGGAGGAAGAGAGAGGUGAUCCUAAGUCCUGCUGUCUGUUGGCGCACUCCAAGGCUGGGCUUCAUGGCUGCCCUGCCGUCUGGUAACAGCAGUCCUUUUUGUUUGUUUGUUUUGAUUUUUCGAGACAGGGUUUCUCUGUAUAGCCCUGGCUGUCCUCAAACUCAGAAAUCCGCCUGCCUCUGCCUCCCAAGUGCUGGGAUUAAAGGCGUGCACCACCAUGCCCGGCUCUACAGCAGUCAUAAAACCAUGCCUAAUGCAGUCAGUACACACUUGGUAAUUGCUUUAUGAAUGUAGAAUUAUGGAAGCUUCCACCCACAGUAUAUGUUCAUAGAUGGAGCACAGAGCUUCAAAAUGUGCUUUAUUUUUAACAGAUAAGUUAUGUUUUUAAUAUAAUAAAUGCCAACUAUACUUAACAUAACCUAUUUGUGUUAAAGAAUAAUUGGACAUAAUAAAACAGGCCACCAGGACAUAAAGCAAUUCUGUUAAAUUCCAGUUUCCCACUAUGAGAUAGUUUACAUUUUCAAAAUGGAAAUUACUGGGCAUAUUUAUGGAAUUUUUCAAGGGGAAAAAAGCCUAGAGUCGUACCUUGAUGACAGAGUGUUUGCUUAGCAUGUGUCAAGCCCUUCGUACUAUCCCUAAAACCAUCAAGAGAGAAAGAAGGGAGUGUGAGAGGGGAGGGAGGGGGGAAAGAGAGGAAAGAUUUAAAAUAGCCAUAUUAGGUUAUCUAUAAUGGGGUCACCAUCCACCUCAGAAAAUGGGCAGUGCUCCUACUGAGGGCUAUCAAUGAAAGACCUGUGCUGUGCUGUGCUUUGCACUGUCUAUUUGAAAGUCUCAGAAGGUAUGGUUUACCUUAUCCCAGCCACUGUAAUUAAGUGAAUGCUUUUAGACUGUGAAAGGAUAGUUGCCAUUUGGCCUAAGAGCACUUAGGCAGAGCGCUUCAUUCCCGUGUGAUGCUGCAUACCGUUGUUUUUAUUUACAAUCCCAAAUGCUCUGUGCCUUGGUUUUUCACUCGCCAAAACCAACCUUACUCUACUAAAUGAAAUGCAAUCUUACCAGUUUAACCAGUAUGCUGUGAUAUUGUAGUGAGUCUCAGAGAUGACUGUGGAAACAGGAGGCCUGUCAUUUCAAUGAGCACCAUCACCUAAGCGGUAAUCAUUUCUCCUGUGUCUUAAACUGCUCUGACUCCUGAGCAAGUGUUCAUGUCUGUGUGUCAAAAUAAAAGUUUUUUCUAAAGG
rnacentral:lncRNA from 1 species